ensembl:lncRNA
GGGUUAGCCAGAACCCAAUGGGGUGAGGCAUAACCCAAUGGGGUGACUCAUAAUCCAAUGGGGUGAGCUGUAAGGCAAUGGGGUGAGGCAUAACCCAAUGGGGUGACCCAUAACCCAAUGGGGUGAGGCAUAACCCAAUGGGGUGAGCCGUAAGGCAAUGGGGUGAACUGUAACCCAAUGGGGUGAGCCAUAAGGCAAUGGGGUGAACCAUAAGGCAAUGCGGUGACCCAUAACCCAAUGGGGUGACCCAUAACCAAUAGGGUGACUCAUAACCCAACGGGGUGACCCAUAACUCAAUGAGAUGACGCUAACCCAUAACCCAAUGGGGUGACCCAUAACCAAUGGGGUGACGCUGACCCAUAACACCAUAUAGAAACCCCAUAGGGACCCACAGGGACCUAUAGAGCCCCCCUGAGGACCCAUAGGGACCUACAGAAUCACCACAGGGACCCAUAGGGACCCAUAGAGACCCAUAGAGACCCAUAGGGACCCAUAGAGACCCAUAGGGACCCAUAGGGACCCAUAGAGGCCAAUAGAGACCCAUAAGGACCCAUAGAGACCAAUAGGGACCCAUAGGGACCAUAGAGACCCAUAGAGACCCAUAGGGACCCAUAGAGACCAAUAGGGACCCAUAGAGACCCAUAGAGACCCAUAGGGACCCAUAGAGACCCAUAGAGACCAAUAGGGACCCAUAGAGACCCAUAGAGACCAAUAGAGACCAAUAGGGACCCAUAGAGACCCAUAGGGACCCAUUGGGACCUGCGCAGCUCCCGCAGGGACCCCCAUACAACUGUAGGAACCCAUAAAACCCCCAUAGGAACGCGUGUAGCCCUAUGGGGCCCUACAGAACCCCCGGAAGGCCCCAUACGGCCCUACAGAACCUCCAUAACAACCCAUAGGGACCCACAGACCCCCAAAUAGAGCCCCAUAAGCAUUCCCCUAUAGGAACCUCCCUGAGACCCCAUAACACCCCCCAUAGCAACGCAUAGGAGCCCAUAGAACCCCCAUAACAACCUAUAGCAAGCCACAAACCCCCCAGAAAGCCCCGCAAGCGUUCCCCCAUAGGAAC